rnacentral:rRNA from 1 species
AGUGAACGCUGGCGGUAGGCCUAACACAUGCAAGUCGAACGGCAGCACAGUAAGAGCUUGCUCUUACGGGUGGCGAGUGGCGGACGAGUGAGGAAUACAUCGGAAUCUACUUUUUCUUGGGUGAUAACGUAGGGACACUUACGCUAAUACCGCAUACGACCUACGGGUGAAAGCAGGGGAUCUUCGGCCCUUGCGCGAUUGAAUGAGCCGAUGUCGGAUUAGCUAGUUGGCGGGGUAAAGGCCCACCAAGGCGACGAUCCGUAGCUGGUCUGAGAGGAUGAUCAGCCACACUGGAACUGAGACACGGUCCAGACUCCUACGGGAGGCAGCAGUGGGGAAUAUUGGACAAUGGGCGCAAGCCUGAUCCAGCCAUACCGCGUGGGUGAAGAAGGCCUUCGGGUUGUAAAGCCCUUUUGGUGGGAAAGAAAAGCAGCAGGUUAAUACCCCGCUGUUCUGACGGUACCCAAAGAAUAAGCACCGGCUAACUUCGUG